UACGUAGGGGGCAAGCGUUGUCCGGAAUUAUUGGGCGUAAAGCGCACGUAGGCGGCUUAGCAAGUCGGAAGUGAAAUCCCUCGGCUCAACCAAGGAAGUGCUUUCGAAACUGCUGAGCUUGAGUACUUAAGAGGAUCGCGGAAUUCCCGGUGUAGAGGUGAAAUUCGUAGAUAUCGGGAGGAACACCAGUGGCGAAGGCGGCGAUCUGGGAAGAUACUGACGCUGAGGUGCGAAAGCGUGGGGAGCAAACAGG
rnacentral:rRNA from 1 species